GAUGAACGCUGGCGGCGUGCCUAAUACAUGCAAGUCGAGCGAACAGACGAGGAGCUUGCUCCUCUGACGUUAGCGGCGGACGGGUGAGUAACACGUGGAUAACCUACCUAUAAGACUGGGAUAACUUCGGGAAACCGGAGCUAAUACCGGAUAAUAUAUUGAACCGCAUGGUUCAAAAGUGAAAGACGGUUGCUGUCACUUAUAGAUGGAUCCGCGCCGCAUUAGCUAGUUGGUAAGGUAACGGCUUACCAAGGCAACGAUGCGUAGCCGACCUGAGAGGGUGAUCGGCCACACUGGAACUGAGACACGGUCCAGACUCCUACGGGAGGCAGCAGUAGGGAAUCUUCCGCAAUGGGCGAAAGCUUGACGGAGCAACGCCGCGUGAGUGAUGAAGGUCUUCGGAUCGUAAAACUCUGUUAUUAGGGAAGAACAAAUGUGUAAGUAACUAUGCACGUCUUGACGGUACCUAAUCAGAAAGCCACGGCUAACUACGUG
rnacentral:rRNA from 1 species